rnacentral:rRNA from 1 species
GAGCCUUUUGGGGUGACAGCGUGCCUUUUGAAGAAUGAGCCUGCGAGUUAGUGUUAUGUCGCGAGGUUAACCCGUGUGGGGUAUCCGUAGCGAAAGCGAGUCUGAAUAGGGCGAUUGAGUCGCGUGUCCUAGACCCGAAGCGGAGUGAUCUACCCAUGGCCAGGUUGAAGCGCGUGUAAGAGCGCGUGGAGGACCGAACCCACUUCAGUUGAAAAUGGAGGGGAUGAGCUGUGGGUAGGGGUGAAAGGCCAAUCAAACUCCGUGAUAGCUGGUUCUCCCCGAAAUGCAUUUAGGUGCAGCGUCACGUGUUUCUUCCCGGAGGUAGAGCUACUGGAUGGACGAUGGGCCCUACAAGGUUACUGACUUCAGCCAAACUCCGAAUGCCGGGAAGUGAGAGCGUGGCAGUGAGACUGUGGGGGAUAAGCUUCAUAGUCGAGAGGGAAACAGCCCAGAACAUCAGCUAAGGCCCCUAAGCGUGUGCUAAGUGGGAAAGGAUGUGGAGUUGCUCAGACAACCAGGAGGUUGGCUUAGAAGCAGCCACCCUUGAAAGAGUGCGUAAUAGCUCACUGGUCAAGUGAUUCCGCGCCGAUAAUGUAGCGGGGCUUAAGUUAUCCGCCGAAGCUGUGGCAACCUGUGUGGUUGGGUAGGGGAGCGUCGUGUCAGUGGUGAAGCUGCCGGGUGACUGUGUGGUGGAGUUGAUGCGAGUGAGAAUGCAGGCAUGAGUAGCGUGUGACGGGUGGGAAUCCCGUCCGCCGAUUAUCCAAGGGUUCCAGGGUCAAGUUUGUCUGCCCUGGGUGAGUCGGGUCCUAAGGCGAGGCCGACAGGCGUAGUCGAUGGGUAACCAGUUGAUAUUCUGGUACCGGCUUGUCACCGUCCGUGUCGAGGUGUGUGAUGCUAAGCAUGUGAGCUUGUCUUGGGAGUGUUUUUGAUGCUUCUGGGGUGGGUGAGUGUGUGAACCGAUCAUGUAGUAGGCAAGCUGCGGAGGGACGCAGUGAGGUAGCUCAUCCCCGGUGAUGGUUGUCCGGGGCUAAGUGUGUGGACUGUCUGGUAGGUAAAUCCGCUGGGCGUGAAGGUUGAGGCAUGAUGGGGAGCCCACGGUUGUGGGUGAGUGAGUGAUCCUGUACUGUCGAGAAAAGCUUCGUGAGCGAGGUGGCGGGUCCGCCCGUACCCUAAACCGACACUGGUGGAUAGGUAGAGUAUACCGAGGCGAUCGAGUGAAUCGUGGUGAAGGAACUCGGCAAAAUGCCCCCGUAACUUUGGGAUAAGGGGGACCUGAGCUGUCGUGCACCCGUGCGGUGUGGUGGCGGUGAGGGGCGCAGAGUCCAGGGGGAAACGACUGUUUACCAAAAACACAGGUCCGUGCGAAGUCGUAAGACGAUGUAUACGGACUGACUCCUGCCCGGUGCUGGAAGGUUAAGGGGAACUGUGAGUGUAUGCGUAGCGGUGAACUUAAGCCCCAGUAAACGGCGGUGGUAACUAUAACCAUCCUAAGGUAGCGAAAUUCCUUGUCGGGUAAGUUCCGACCUGCACGAAUGGAGUAACGACUUCCCUACUGUCUCAACCAUGAACUCGGCGA